rnacentral:rRNA from 1 species
AAAUUGAAGAGUUUGAUCAUGGCUCAGAUUGAACGCUGGCGGCAGGCCUAACACAUGCAAGUCGAACGGUAACAGGAAGCAGCUUGCUGCUUUGCUGACGAGUGGCGGACGGGUGAGUAAUGUCUGGGAAACUGCCUGAUGGAGGGGGAUAACUACUGGAAACGAUGGCUAAUGCCGCAUAACGUCGCAAGACCAAAGAGGGGGACCUUCGGGCCUCUUGCCAUCAGAUGUGCCCAGAUGGGAUUAGCUUGUUGGUGAGGUAACGGCUCACCAAGGCGACGAUCCCUAGCUGGUCUGAGAGGAUGACCAGCCACACUGGAACUGAGACACGGUCCAGACUCCUACGGGAGGCAGCAGUGGGGAAUAUUGCACAAUGGGCGCAAGCCUGAUGCAGCCAUGCCGCGUGUAUGAAGAAGGCCUUCGGGUUGUAAAGUACUUUCAGCGGGGAGGAAGGUGUUGUGGUUAAUAACCGCAGCAAUUGACGUUACCCGCAGAAGAAGCACCGGCUAACUCCGUGCCAGCAGCCGCGGUAAUACGGAGGGUGCAAGCGUUAAUCGGAAUUACUGGGCGUAAAGCGCACGCAGGCGGUCUGUCAAGUCGGAUGUGAAAUCCCCGGGCUCAACCUGGGAACUGCAUUCGAAACUGGCAGGCUUGAGUCUUGUAGAGGGGGGUAGAAUUCCAGGUGUAGCGGUGAAAUGCGUAGAGAUCUGGAGGAAUACCGGUGGCGAAGGCGGCCCCCUGGACAAAGACUGACGCUCAGGUGCGAAAGCGUGGGGAGCAAACAGGAUUAGAUACCCUGGUAGUCCACGCCGUAAACGAUGUCUACUUGGAGGUUGUGCCCUUGAGGCGUGGCUUCCGGAGCUAACGCGUUAAGUAGACCGCCUGGGGAGUACGGCCGCAAGGUUAAAACUCAAAUGAAUUGACGGGGGCCCGCACAAGCGGUGGAGCAUGUGGUUUAAUUCGAUGCAACGCGAAGAACCUUACCUGGUCUUGACAUCCACGGAAGAAUUCAGAGAUGGAUUUGUGCCUUCGGGAACCGUGAGACAGGUGCUGCAUGGCUGUCGUCAGCUCGUGUUGUGAAAUGUUGGGUUAAGUCCCGCAACGAGCGCAACCCUUAUCCUUUGUUGCCAGCGAUUCGGUCGGGAACUCAAAGGAGACUGCCAGUGAUAAACUGGAGGAAGGUGGGGAUGACGUCAAGUCAUCAUGGCCCUUACGACCAGGGCUACACACGUGCUACAAUGGCGCAUACAAAGAGAAGCGACCUCGCGAGAGCAAGCGGACCUCAUAAAGUGCGUCGUAGUCCGGAUUGGAGUCUGCAACUCGACUCCAUGAAGUCGGAAUCGCUAGUAAUCGUGGAUCAGAAUGCCACGGUGAAUACGUUCCCGGGCCUUGUACACACCGCCCGUCACACCAUGGGAGUGGGUUGCAAAAGAAGUAGGUAGCUUAACCUUCGGGAGGGCGCUUACCACUUUGUGAUUCAUGACUGGGGUGAAGUCGUAACAAGGUAACCGUAGGGGAACCUGCGGUUGGAUCACCUCCUUACCUGAAAGAAGC